rnacentral:rRNA from 1 species
UACAGGGGGUGCAAACGUUGCUCGGAAUCAUUGGGCGUAAAGCGCACGUAGGCGGCUUUGUAAGUUAGAGGUGAAAGCCCAGGGCUUAACCCUGGAAUUGCCUUUAAGACUGCAUCGCUAGAAUCGUGGAGAGGUGAGUGGAAUUCCGAGUGUAGAGGUGAAAUUCGUAGAUAUUGGGAAGAACACCGGUGGCGAAGGCGGCGACCUGGUCCGACACUGACGCUGAGGCGCGAAAGCGUGGGGAGCAAACAGG